rnacentral:misc_RNA from 1 species
CGCACAUUGCGCCCCCUGGCAUUCCGGGGGGCAUGCCUGUUCGAGCGUCAUUACACCACUCAAGCCUAGCUUGGUAUUGGGGGCCGCGGGAGACCGCGCCCCUUAAAGUCACCGGCUGGACCGUCCGUCUCCACGCGUUGUGGCAACUAUCCGCGAGUGAGACCCCGGGCGACCCGGCCGUUAAACCCCCCAUCACAGGUUGACCUCGGAUCAGGUAGGGAUACCCGCUGAACUUAA